GGGAAGGUGGCUCAGUGGUAGAGUGCUUGCCUUGCAUGCAUGAAGCCCUGGGUUCGAUUCCUCAGCUCCA
rfam:Dipodomys ordii contig_40844, whole genome shotgun sequence.